rnacentral:lncRNA from 1 species
AUAUGUAUGUGUAUAUAUUCAAAAUAGCAGAAGACGUAAGAUUGAUUAUAGUAAGCGAAAGAUAGAGAAAAGCAAAUUGCAAUUAUUAUUAUUUUUAAAAAGUAAAAAGUCAAAUAGCGCGCGCCUGCAGUGUUCUAGUAAUAUUUAUAAAAGAAGAGACAAAACUCAGCAGUGUUUACUGAUGUUAUCUUUAUGUCUAUCUUUUGAUAAAAAUUCAUUGAUUUGUAUUAAAAAUAGAAAGGAAAAUACUAGAUUUUAAAAAUUCACUGCUAAUUAAUAAAACUAAAUGCAUUAUAUUUAAUAACACAUAAAGCAAAAUAUGUAACUUAAGAACAUCACGAGUAAUAUUAAACGUAUAUUCAGCUUAUAGUUAGAAAGAAUUAGAAAAGAAAUUAGUAAAAGAAGAGAAACAUAGAAAAUUCAAGGCUAUAAAGAGUUCAUUCCCAUAAUAGCGAAACGGAAGGCAAAAGCACAAAGGCAACGGGUUGUUAUAACGUCUACGGUACAGUUACAGUCGACAUAAUAAGCUCAAGUAAUUCCACUCCAUGGAGUCACGAUCGUCCUUACCAGCUGCUCGAUAACCGGAGCUGCUGCUCGUCGGACAUAAGUAAUGAAAGGAGGAAACCGAGUUUUCCGAAUGCUCCUCUCGUCUGGUGGAUAUAGAAGACCAACGAAGGCAAUGACUCUUGUGUAAAAAUGGCGUGGGACUUGAAAAGAAAGGGAGCACAAAAUGCUGCUUGGAAGCGGUCCAGCUUUGUCCCUCGUUUGACGAUGUGUUUUACUGCACAAUCUCGGCAAGCGCUAGAGAUUAUAACUGGAUCUGCGUAGAGGAAUAAAUUUGGUCUCAACGUGGAAAAGUUUUCUACUCUCCGGCAACGUUUUUUAAUGCUGCAUUACCCUUCUAUCUUGAAACGUUUCUGCUCAUCUCCACUUGUGUAGGCUCUCGUCUUCAUCUAAAUGCUACAUGCUGAGAAUCCGAAAGACCACUUAGAGCAGAAGGCUUCACAGAGGCACUGAUUGCGGAAACAUGAGAUUUAUGUCCUUUUACGAGGUCUAAUUAGUUCCGGGCCAUACUAUGUACUAUUAAUGUAAUAACCGCAAGAAAAGUACUAUAAUAAUAAAAUUAUGUACAAAUUUAUAAUGAUGCUAAGAUUAUUAAUAAAGCUAUUUAUAAUAAUUCUAACGUCAUACAAUUGUAAAAAUGUCUAACUUAUAAUAAAAAAUGUGAAGAUACAAACUGAAAAUUUUUCUGCGUGAAACGUAUGCUACGAAAAAAUAUUCUGACCGCGAUGUAAUUAAUUCCUUAAUUAGAGAAGUAUCGAGAUUCAACUUUGUUCUAAACAUACGCUCUAAACGUUUCACAUAAUAUAUCCUCAAAUUUGGUUGUAAACCGCGUGCUAACCGGAGAGAAAUGAUUAGAACGCACGAAAUAUGCGUUGAAUUAUUUACUGUGACAGUGAUAAAACCGACUAGGGCAAUAAUUACGUUUGCGCAAUUUAAAUUGCAUUCCAUACAUAAUCCGCGAAUCCGUGAUCCCGGCCGCGUUAUUACCUUCUCUUAUACAUUUCUGCCAUCCUUUUCGCCUUCACGGUACAUCUUGGCGCUUUGUUCACGAGGGCGUACAUGAGAAAAAGUACCAACAGCAGAAUCUCUCGGUUUUAUCAAAUAGCGCACGUGCGCCAUUCUUGCUUUCUGUAGAAUGAAUCGAAGGAAUCCGCGCGUUUGUAUUCGAGAUCCGCUUACAGUUACAAAAGGGAUGUUUGGAUCGUAGCAAGAGAUGCAGAAAGAAAUUCAAACUAUAGUGAAUAAUAAAUGCAUUGAGCUCAUUUGUUCAUCUGUUUCAAAAAUGCGAUAAAUAUGUAUUGAUUUUAGCGAAAAAUAAAACAAAAGAAGACGUUUCUUGUAGGAAUCUAGAAAAUAAUACUGGUUUGUGAUAAGUUUUGUAAAAAUAAAUUAAGUGCGCUCGAUGCUAGUACUUCAUAUUAGAUAAUUUUAGAAAAUUGUUUUAUUCUUAAAAACAGUUAUAUACUUUAUCACAGGUAAAUUAAAUUAUAAAUCAUUUUUCUGGAAAAAGUAAUUUCACGCGUAUUAAAUUUAGGUUAAUAUAUUUUCGCAAAAAAAAAAAAAAAAAAAAAACCGUUGCCUGAGUUAUACAUAAUUUUUCGGGGAACUUUGGUAGAAUUAAUUGGCCUCAAUUUUUUAAAAAUUAACAGAUAAAUGUAACAAAUUUUGCAUGUGGUAUAUUUUGAAUAUUCGCAAGAAAUUAAAAAAAAAAACGAUACAUUAAAAAAGUUCACGAUGUAUUAAAUAAAAAUUUUUGUGAAUUCUCAACAAAUAGCAUUUUGCGAAUAAAUGGAAAUUGCGGUCAGAGGGAAGUUAUGAUGCUUCAUCGUGCAAUACAGAAUCAUAGUUUGUGGCGAACAGUUUCAUUAGGUUUCUAGUUGACCACGCUAAGACCUACCGCGUUGUGGUGGAUAUAUCGUCUUUUGUAAGAUUAGACGCCGACUCUUGGCCUAACUGUAAUUAAGAAGAGUGUUCUACCUAACUACGGUCGGCGCUUCGCCCAACCAACGAACGAGAUGUCAUUUUUUCCAUUCUAGUCAAUUACAAUCAAUAAGUUUCUCCACAUACAUAAAACGCAAAUUAAUAUU